UACGGAGGGUGCGAGCGUUGUCCGGAAUCACUGGGCGUAAAGGGCGCGUAGGCGGCCGAGCAAGGUGGCGGUGAAAGCCCGGGGCUCAACUCCGGGUCGGCCGUGACAACUACUCGGCUCGAGCUCUGUAGGGGCAGGCGGAAUUCCGGGUGUAGCGGUGGAAUGCGUAGAGAUCCGGAAGAACACCGGUGGCGAAGGCGGCCUGCUGGGCAGAGGGACCGGAAGGUCCAUAAGCUGACGCUGAUGCGCGACAGCGUGGGGAGCAAACAGG
rnacentral:rRNA from 1 species